CCUACGGGAGGCAGCAGUAGGGCAUAUUGCUCAAUGGGGGAAACCCUGAAGCAGCAACGCCGCGUGGAGGAUGAAGGUUUUCGGAUUGUAAACUCCUUUUGUUAGAGAAGAUAAUGACGGUAUCUAACGAAUAAGCACCGGCUAACUCCGUGCCAGCAGCCGCGGUAAUACGGAGGGUGCAAGCGUCAUGCAGAAUCAAUGGGCGUAAAGAGCGCGUAGGCGGGAUGGGAAGUAGGAUGUGAAAUCCUAUGGCUUAACCAUAGAAGUGCCUUUGAAACUGGUAUUCUAGAGUAUGGGAGAGGUAGGUGGAAGUCUUGGUGUAGCGGUAAAAUCCGUAGAGAUCAAGAGGAAUACUCAUUGCGAAGGCGACCUGCUGGAACAUAACUGACGCUGAUGCGCGAAAGCGUGGGGAGCAAACAGGAUUAGAUACCCCUGUAGUC
rnacentral:rRNA from 1 species